GUAACAUUUUAAGUAACCUUAUAGAAAAAUGAUAAUAAUAAAAGUUACAUACUGAGUUUUUGGGUUCGGGGUGGCGCAGUGGGUUGGACCGGGUCCUGCUCUCCGGUAGGUCUGGGGUUCGAGUCCCACUUGGGGUGCCUUGUGAUAGACUGGCAUCCUGUCCUGGGUGUGUCCCCUCCCCCUCCAGCCUUACGCCUUGUGUUGCCGGGUUAGACUCUGGCUCCCCGCGACCCCAAAUGGGACAAGCGGCUCAGACAGUGCGUGGGGACUGAGUUUUUGAUUAGUCAGUGGUUGAUGAGCCCUUAAUUCCCAUUAAUAAAGGAAUCUGUUUUUUUUUUUUUCUUUUUUAAACAGUGCUGAUUUUCAUGCUUCACUUGACACAACUGCAGUUGCAUUCGGAAUCAUGUUACUUUACCCUCUUUCACUCUUUUUGUUUUACAGAACAACCAGAGGAUUUAUCCACAGCCUUCAGUCCCUCUGUUCCUCUUCUCUGUCAUUUGUUCCUUGGUCUCCUUCCGUCUCCUCUUUAGCCCACCGCUCCUCGGCACCUGUGAUGACAAGUUGACGGCCGACACACCUCCUGGCAAGCCGUGAUUUAAAGCACAUGCAUGUGCAUUUUGUAUGCAAAUGUUGUUGUGCCUUACGCUGCAGACUUCCAGGGCCAGCCGCCAUCCUACAAGUCGAGACACAUCUGCCUUCCGUACCUUGGAGCACGAGGCUUGAUCCGGUUCUACAAAUAAACCCGCUGAAGGAACAUGAGAGAGGGAGGCAAACUGGAAUUACCGCAGGUGAGCCAACAGUAGACUGUGAUUUCUGGGAAAGUAGCAGAAGUACUCCCACUCCAACUCCUCCAGGACCCAAACAAUUCUCACUCUCAUUCCACUACACCCGUCAGCUGAAGUGAGGCAGCAAGACAGUGGCCUGGUGGAACCACCAGGAAAGCUGCCUUUUAUUGAGGCUCAAAGUUGUGCGGUGGCAGGAAAAAGUGCUGAGGACUCAGUAACAGCAGAAGAACCAGCUUUUACCGCAAUCUUUAGAACCCAACGCUGACAAGGACAGCGUGACCCAAAAGACUCACAACAGAACCCGUAACAAGGCUAUCGACAAGGUUGUGAAAAAGGUCAUCAACAGCUCCAUCAACAAGGGCAUGAAUGCUGUGGUGCACAGCAGAUGCAAGAAUCUCCAGGACUCCAAGAAUCCAGACUGAGUUUCAAAAGUCUGUCACUGAAGAACACAAUAUACUGCUGCCACA
rnacentral:lncRNA from 1 species